rnacentral:rRNA from 1 species
CCUGGGGAGUACGGCCGCAAGGCUAAAACUCAAAGGAAUUGACGGGGACCCGCACAAGCGGCGGAGCAUGCGGAUUAAUUCGAUGCAACGCGAAGAACCUUACCAAGGCUUGACAUACACCAGAACGGGCCAGAAAUGGUCAACUCUUUGGACACUGGUGAACAGGUGGUGCAUGGUUGUCGUCAGCUCGUGUCGUGAGAUGUUGGGUUAAGUCCCGCAACGAGCGCAACCCUCGUUCUAUGUUGCCAGCACGUAAUGGUGGGAACUCAUGGGAUACUGCCGGGGUCAACUCGGAGGAAGGUGGGGAUGACGUCAAAUCAUCAUGCCCCUUAUGUCUUGGGCUUCACGCAUGCUACAAUGGCCGGUACAAAGGGCUGCAAUACCGUGAGGUGGAGCGAAUCCCAAAAAGCCGGUCCCAGUUCGGAUUGAGGUCUGCAACUCGACCUCAUGAAGUCGGAGUCGCUAGUAAUCGCAGAUCAGCAACGCUGCGGUGAAUACGUUCCCGGGUCUUGUACACACCGCCCGUCAAGUCAUGAAAGUCGGUAACACCUGAAGCCGGUGGCCCAACCCUUGUGGAGGGAGCCGUCGAAGGUGGGAUCGGUAAUUAGGACUUUU